AGAAAACUGAGGCUCAGGAAUACCAUGACUUGUCCAAAGUCACACAGGAAGUGCCAGAAGUCAGGACCCCUGGCUCUCAGUCUAGCACUCUUCUCAUAGUAUCGCAUUGUUCAGAUGUUACCAAAAAGGGAAGCCAGCAGGACGGAAGCAAAAACUGAAGACGUGAGAGGUGUGUGGAGUCACCAUGGGAGGGGACAUCAAGAAAGAACCAAAGAAGAGUGGUCAGACAGGCAGGCAGGAGGACAGCUGGACCAAGGCCACGUCACAGAUAUCAAGGAAGGAGAGACUCUCCAGGUGGGCGACGGGGGAUAGAAAACAUAGGCACAGAACCACAUCCAGAGAAAGAACUAUGGAGUCUGAAUGCAGAUCGAAGCCCACUGUUUUCUCUCUUUUUCUUUCUUG